GACGAACGCUGGCGGCGUGCCUAAUACAUGCAAGUCGAGCGGAUGACGGAGGAGCUUGCUCCUCCUGAUUCAGCGGCGGACGGGUGAGUAACACGUGGGCAACCUGCCCUGUAGAUUGGGAUAACUCCGGGAAACCGGGGCUAAUACCGAAUAAUCCUUCGGACUUCAUGGUCCGAUGUUGAAAGGCGGUUUCGGCUGUCACUACAGGAUGGGCCCGCGGCGCAUUAGCUAGUUGGUGAGGUAACGGCUCACCAAGGCCACGAUGCGUAGCCGACCUGAGAGGGUGAUCGGCCACACUGGGACUGAGACACGGCCCAGACUCCUACGGGAGGCAGCAGUAGGGAAUCUUCCACAAUGGACGAAAGUCUGAUGGAGCAACGCCGCGUGAGUGAAGAAGGUUCUCGGAUCGUAAAACUCUGUUGUGAGGGAAGAACAAGUACCGGAGUAACUGCCGGUGCCUUGACGGUACCUCAUUAGAAAGCCACGGCUAACUACGUGCCAGCCGCCGCGGUAAUAC
rnacentral:rRNA from 1 species